rnacentral:rRNA from 1 species
GCAGUAGCCGCGGUAAUACAGAGGGUGCAAGCGUUAAUCGGAAUUACUGGGCGUAAAGCGCGCGUAGGUGGUUUGUUAAGUUGGAUGUGAAAGCACCGGGCUCAACCUGGGAACUGCAUCCAAAACUGGCAAGCUAGAGUACGGUAGAGGGUGGUGGAAUUUCCUGUGUAGCGGUGAAAUGCGUAGAUAUAGGAAGGAACACCAGUGGCGAAGGCGACCACCUGGACUGAUACUGACACUGAGGUGCGAAAGCGUGGGGAGCAAACAGGAUUAGAUACCCGUGUAGUCCCUGUCUCUUAUAC